GUAAUCAUAAUAAGUAGGUGUGGCCUAACCACGUGAAUACACGUGUGUUAAUUAUGCUGUCAGCUGGGUACUUGGACUGCAUGUGAUAUCAUCCUCUGAAGACUUAACAAUAAUACUCAGUGUCAGUCUCUGAUCCAUUGGAAUGAAUCUACUAUUCAACUGUCAUGACUUCUCUCUUUAUUAGGACCCAUUUUACACACGUGGUAUCACGUGGACAAAGUGGGCAGGGAUUUGUAGGCGUGGCAUGGCUCAAGAAAGGUGGUGAGUGCAGAACAGAAGCUCAAUGAAGUACAUCAAGAAUCAAAAGCAACAACUCCACCUCCUCCUGCUAAACCGGGACCAGAGAAAAGAAAGAUCCCGAUCCAAAGUGUAUGUGAGACAGUUGUUCCUAAGCUGAUACCUGAAGAUAUCCCCUUGCUACACAGUCUCCUUCAAGAUGUAUU